CACACAAUCCGGAUCCCUUGAGGGAUCCCGGAUGGAGUUGUGGUGCGGGAUCCUAUUGUGAGCCGUUGGAUUUAAUCCAACGGCCUGGAAUAGAGAAGCCCUUAAAUCUCGUUGGAAAUUACACUUUCCCCCUCACACUCACACUUUCCCCCUUCUCAUUUCAUUUACGGACAGACCAGAGAGAGAGAGAGAGAGAGAGAGAGAGAGAGAGGCGACGCGAACCAGAGAAGACGAACGAAGAGGAGAAGAUCGAAGACGAAUGAAGAUCCACCGAGGACGAACAACGAAGAACGAAGAGGAGAAGAAGAACGAAGAAGAUCGACUGGAGAACGAGGUAUCUCUAUCAUAUUUUUCUCUCUCGUUCAAAAAAAUAAAAAUCUGGUUCGGAAGAAAUUUCUUAGAAAUUAUGUUGUUUUUUUUUUAGGACGAACGACGAAGAGCGAAGAGGAGAAGAAGAACGAAGAAGCUCGACUGGAGAACGUGAUUGAACCAAAUAAGGUAUCUCUCUCUUCACUGUUUGACUGAUUUGAACCCCUUUUUGUUAGGGUUUCAAUUUCGAUCCAGGAAUGGUGUUAGGGUUAGGUUUUUAUUUUGAUUAGUUGUAUAUGAAAAACGAAAUUUGGGGAAAUUUGUAAGUUUUAGUUUUGAAAUUUUAUAGAGAUUUUAUCUAUCCAAACAUGUAUCUAGAUUCUAGGAUGAAUACUGGGUUAGUUUAAAACUCUAAAACUGGAAGGUGAAAAAGUUUAAAAUGCACUACUAUGAUUUAUGUGUGUAUUUACCCCCAAACAAUGACAUGGAUGACCUAGAUUUAUGAGAAUGCUGCCUCACCUAGAUUUACAGCGUCCCAUUUUUAAUUUUGUAUGAAUCAUAUAAGUACUUUAAGGAAGAGUAACUGGUAUACUUGGCUAAAUUGUGAGGUUGAAAAAUAUCCUAGUUUUGUGCGGCUUUGCGUAUGCAACUGAAGUGCUACGAAGUUGUGAGAGAUGGUGAGUUUGGGUGAAAGUGUUCAUCAAAACGUAUGGCAUAAAUGUGGAGAUUGAGGAUUAAAACCUCAAGGGAAACGUAUGGCAAAUGUGGAGAUCCAAGCUUUGAGUCGGUUUGGUGUUCCUGUCUUUCUGUUACCUCCUCAUUUUCUCAUGACAAACUUCAGUUUACUUUUGUCUUUUCUAUUACGGAGAUUCUGUGUUACUUUUAUGAGCUGACAUGCACCGGUUCAGAUUUUAUUUGCUAUGAUUUUCUCGGUUUUGUUGUGGGGUAGUAUGUUAUAUUAUGCAUCCGAAAAGGCUUCAUGAAUAUUCUCAAUUCCUUUUAUGAGAAUGUCCAUAUUAUUAAAAGUUACUGGAUACCAUCUUCCAUUUGAGGUUUGAUAUUUCAGAAAUCUUGUUAUGUCGUAUACUGUCUUCCCAACAUUUUUGAAAGAUUUGUAACUCUUUUUUUUUUUACUUUCUAAUUUUGAGUAUCAUAGAGCGGCCAUUGUUACAUUAUAGGAGGAGAAAGCAACUCAUUUCAUGGAAGGAAGUAGUUCGUGUAACAAUGGAAGUGGUGAUCUCGAUUUUGGGAUCUUUUGUUAUUGUGGAGAUCCCACACCAUUGAGGAAAUCUGGAACACAAAAGAACCCAGGUCAAAGGUUCUUCGGAUGUGCAAACUAUAAGUUAGACUUGGAUUGUGGUUUUUUUUGCUGGUAUGAGCCUUGUAUUUUGCAAUGGCGGGCUGAUUUGAGGCCAAUGAUGGUUUAGACAAAAAAAAAAAAAAAAAAGCCUGUGAGGACUGUUGAACAAUGUGAGAGUUCAGCAUUCAUGAGCAUUAGUGAAGAUAUGCAGAGGACAACAAUCACAAUGCAGAUGAAGAUUGAAGCCAUGCAGAAGGAGAUUGAUGCAAUGAGAAUGAGAAAUGGGGGGAAAAUGAACUGGAAUUACCUUUAGAUUGUUGUUUUUUGUAUUGUGUCAUACAUGUGCGGCAAAAGCAGCCACUGAACUAAAGUAGUAGUAGUAGUAUGUUUGGGACUAUGAAAUUGCUUACUGUUGGGAUUUGGUUUGGU